AAAUAUGAGCCUUCCCACUGCCGAGCUGUACAACAGCACUGUCACUUAUAAAUGUGACUUUAACAUUUAUAAGUAGCUGGUUUCUGAAAACCAUGGGCAGCCCUGCUGUACAAUUUAGUGGGGUUCUCUGUAGUCAGACCUAAAUAAAUAAAUGAAAAACUCCACAGAAUUGCAGGUAUCAGUGAAGGCAUUAUAGUCAGUAUAUGAUACUAUAGUGAUACUGACUAAAUGUGAUAGUCAGUAUCACAUUUUGACACUUUGAGCAUAAUCUAUUUAUAUAUUUUUAGGUCUCCAAAAUACAAUAGAUAUAAGUAUUUUGUUUAUGAAAAUAAAAUUAUCCUCCUUUUUUGAUGUUAAAUAAGUGCAGCAUCAAAAAUAUGAUAAAUUCUCUGCUGAAUCACAUUCACGUAUUGAUUACUCCAUGCUAACUCGCCAUUUUGCAGCAUGAACAGUAUUGCUCUUUUUGUUAAAUGUGUUUUGAUAUUCUCCUUAUGUUGUGAUUAAAAUGUCUAAUUCCAUUGGUGAGGAAUGCACA